AAACUCAAAGGAAUUGACGGGGGCCCGCACAAGCGGCGGAGCAUGUGGAUUAAUUCGAUGCAACGCGAAGAACCUUACCUGGGUUUGACAUGCACAGGACGCGUCUAGAGAUAGGCGUUCCCUUGUGGCCUGUGUGCAGGUGGUGCAUGGCUGUCGUCAGCUCGUGUCGUGAGAUGUUGGGUUAAGUCCCGCAACGAGCGCAACCCUUGUCUCAWGUUGCCAGCGGGUAAUGCCGGGGACUCGUGAGAGACUGCCGGGGUCAACUCGGAGGAAGGUGGGGAUGACGUCAAGUCAUCAUGCCCCUUAUGUCCAGGGCUUCACACAUGCUACAAUGGCCGGUACAAAGGGCUGCGAUGCCGCAAGGUUAAGCGAAUCCUUUUAAAGCCGGUCUCAGUUCGGAUC
rnacentral:rRNA from 1 species